rnacentral:lncRNA from 1 species
GCAGGAAUAUGAAAAGUUUUUAUUUAUUUAUUUAUUUUAGGACCUGCACACUAUCUCAACAGGACUGAACUCCCUUUUGGACCAAGGGAUGUAAUUUGACCAGAGCAGGGGGAAUAGAGACAUUCCCUUCUGUUUUUCUUCUUGCAGUUGACGGCUGGGGAUUUAACCAGGACACACUGGCACCAUCAAACACCUGAGGCCUUGCAUCCAAACUGGAGAGAGCAGGCUGACCUAAAGCUUCUGAUGCCAACCUUUCUUCUUCACUGUACAAACCAGCUGGCUGUGACCAGGAAACACAGCCCCCCAGGUAUGGAAUCCAUCACAAGACUUCAUGAGAUGAUCCCAGCAAAGCAGCAUGGUGCAGGCAACCACAAGCUCAGGCUACAGAGGUCUGAGGCAUCGGUGCCAUCCAACUGCUGCCAGUGCUCCAUUAAGGGCCUUGGACAACUCACUCAACCUCUCUGAGGCCUCUGUUCCUCACCCAUAACUGGAACGAAUCAUCCUCAUUACCCCAUGACAGUUCCAAUAAUUAAGUGAAAUAAUUUCUGUAAUAGGCUCAGACACAGUACCCAGUAAAUGUUAUCUAUAACUAUUUUUUUUAAAUUGUAUUACAGUUGAUUUGCAUUGUCCUGUCAAUUUCUGUUGUACAACAAAGUGAUCUAGUCAUACAUCUAUACACACUCUCUCUCAUAUUAUUGUUAGGUUUGUCCCAGGAAAAACAAGACUUAGCUCUAGGCUUUGGCCUAGCUCCUGGAGAGACAUGACUAAGACAUGACUAAGUCUUCCCCGAAAUCAUGUGACCCAGUCUUAAAGACUAACUUACUAUCCAGGAGAAUGUCUAAACUUCUAUUCAUAUCCUACUAACAAUUCUCCCAAACUGAUUGGUCUGUUCCUUUUCACCCUAUUUACAUAAGAAAUGGCCAAUCAAAUUCUGCCCAGAAACCCCCUUUCUUGGCACUCACAUAUAACCUCCCUCCUCAAAUGACUGGCUGCUGACCUCCUGUUGUGAGUAAGCCCGGCAGUAUACCCCGCUAAUAAAGUCUUUUAUGCCUUAACUCGGCUCUCGUCCUUUCAACCAACCUUACAAUUAUUUUUCAUCAUGUUCCAUCACAAGUGAUUGGACAUAGUUUUCUGGGCUAUACAGCAGGACCUCAUCGUCUAUUCAUUCUAAAUGUAACAGUUUGCAUCUAUUAACCCCGAAUGCCCCGUCCAUCACACUCCCUCCCUCUCCCCCUUGGCCUAUUAACUGCUAUUCAUCAAGAUACAGCUCACGGGCUCUAUGCUUGGAUAAAUAAAAGUUUUGGCUCAAUUUAAUGGAAGGAAGCCAUAAGUAACUAAUGGAAUCAUAAGAAUGUAUUGAUAAUCUAAAAGCAUAAGAAAAAAUAUAAUCAUAGAUU